CACGUAGGGGGCGAGCGUUGUCCGGAUUUAUUGGGCGUAAAGAGCUCGUAGGCGGCUCAGUAAGUCAGGUGUGAAAACUCCAGGCUCAACCUGGAGACGCCACCUGAUACUGCUGUGGCUAGAGUCCGGUAGGGGAGCAUGGAAUUCCUGGUGUAGCGGUGAAAUGCGCAGAUAUCAGGAGGAACACCGGUGGCGAAGGCGGUGCUCUGGGCCAGUACUGACGCUGAGGAGCGAAAGCGUGGGGAGCAAACAGG
rnacentral:rRNA from 1 species